GUGUCUCGAUUAUUCUGUAAAGUCUUUUUCAAUUCGGAGAUAACUUUUUUUGAUCCAGAAGUCUUGAAACUUCUGCUUUUCUUAGGACCAGAUCUCUUAAACAGAAGAUCUUCGGCUUAAUUUUUGCAUUAUAAUAUCGGAUUACUCUUUGCUGAUAUACCGCCAUCCAAAUUUGAGCUUGUUGUCGGAUUUUUGAAAGUAAAUCUAGAUCAGCUCUCUGAUAUUCUGAAUUGCUCGGCUCAUUGUAUUAUUCUACUCUUAUUGAUGGUAGUCCGAUCUUAAGUGGGAUCAUCGCUUCUAUUCCAUAAGCCAGAUUGAAUGACGAUUCUUCCAUUGGUAUGUGAGGAGUCGUUCAGUAUCCCAUAAAAUCAAAUAUAAUUCUUUCACUCAGAGGCCUUUAGCUUCCUUCAGUCUGAUUUUGAGUUCAUGCAGGAUUAUUCGGUUUGUCACUUCUACUUCACCGUUGGAUUGUGGAUGGCUGACUG
rnacentral:lncRNA from 1 species